ACGAGGCUAUUAUCACGUACAUCAUGAGUAUGAACAUUGAUCCGAAAAAGAAGACACAGGAAAUAAUAUGCAGUGUGAAUCCAUUCUUGGCAAAUAAAUAUUAACAACAAUACAAAGGACGAUCAGCAGCGAAGAAAUGAAAGUCCACAGGAGUAGUUCCGGCCACAAGGAUGUAAUGACCAGAGCAGCCAUACCAAGGAUCCCGAACUCUAUCUAAAAUUGCAUUCCUGGCAAUUAACAAUUUCUAUAUACUUCAACUACUUACGGUUAGCGCAGUUAGAAUCCAAUUUAACCAAAUUUUGUUCAGCUGAUUAACAAGUAUCAAUGCCACUACCAAUAGUAUGCCUACUGUAAAGAAACAAUAGCUUAUCUCUGGUUUUGCGAAUACGUCACCGACAUUGGGCCUGCAGCAUGUAAGAUAUACUCAGUGAGAAACAGCUUCUGAUUACCUAAGGUAUCUUAACUUACAACAAGUUGAUAAUCAACCAUUGGACCAGCGCUAUCACCAGCCAGGUCAGGGAUAUCAAAUAAACGUAUAGUGCGAAUUUUAGACGGUCCCGACCAUACGAGGUCGUGCCUUCAUUCAUUGUCCCGCCAGCCUACGGCUCACUGUAUACUCAAAUAAAAAAUUUGUUCAUUCAUAACUGAUCAAACAGUACAAAAA